rnacentral:tRNA from 1 species
GGAGAUAUAGCUCAGUGGUAUAGCAUGGGCUUUGCAUGCACAAAGCUCUGAGUUCAAUCCCCAACACCACCA